UGUCCUACGGGAGGCAGCAGUGGGGAAUAUUGCACAAUGGGGGGAACCCUGAUGCAGCGACGCCGCGUGGGUGAAGGAGUACUUCGGUACGUAAAGCCCUAUCAGCAGGAAAGAAAAUGACGGUACCUGACUAAGAAGCACCGGCUAAAUACGUGCCAGCAGCCGCGGUAAUACGUAUGGUGCAAGCGUUAUCCGGAUUUACUGGGUGUAAAGGGAGCGCAGGCGGCACGGCAAGCCUGAUGUGAAAGUCCGCGGCCCAACCGCGGGACUGCAUUGGGAACUACCGGGCUGGCGUGCCGGAGAGG
rnacentral:rRNA from 1 species